rnacentral:misc_RNA from 1 species
GAAAUGCGAUAAGUAAUGUGAAUUGCAGAAUUCAGUGAAUCAUCGAAUCUUUGAACGCACAUUGCGCUCCUUGGUAUUCCUUGGAGCAUGCCUGUUUGAGUAUCAUGAAAUCUUCAAAGUAAAUCUUUUGUUAACUCAAUUGGUUUCUACUUUGGUAUUGGAGGUCUUUGCAGCUUCACACCUGCUCCUCUUUGUUCAUUAGCUGGAUCUCAGUGUUAUGCUUGGUUCCACUCGGCGUGAUAAGUUAUCUAUCGCUGAGGACACUGUAAAAGGUGGCCAAGGUAAAUGCAGAUGAUCCGCUUCUAAUAGUCCAUUGACUUGGACAAUACUUUUAUGAUCUGAUCUCAAAUCAGGUAGGACUACCCGCUGAACUUAAGC